AAAAAUGUCACUUUUUUUUUUGAUAAACAAUAGCCAUUUCAUUUCAUCAAAAAAACUUACAAAGCAUAGAUGAUGACCAUCUAUUGUUCGUAUGCUAUACAUAAACACUAACCUAUUAUCUAUUUAUGAAGUACGCAAUACAUACAAAGAUAAUACGUGUGAUACAGCUUCGUGAUUUAUGCCAUCUCAUUUGACUAGGGAAAAUGAUCUAAGUUAUGAAGAGUCGCCCUCCAUUUGUGUCUAGGAGCUCCUCUGCAAUGAAGAUGGACCACGAUUUCCUUACACACGGUAUCCCCCAUCAACCUGCCACCUUGGAAUCUCAAUUUAUUCCGUUCUUUCCAUAUUGUCGGCACCAGAAUCCCAAACAGGCAUGCUGUGAUUUCUGCUAAGCUAUUUCUCCUCUUCGCCAGCUUACUAAUCCACGCACACUCCUCCUGCCAGUCAGCAAUGAUACGCUUAUGACCCAGCCAGUUAAGGAGGUGAUUCCAGAGCUCUUUUGUUUUCGAACAUUCAAAAAACAAAUGCUCAAAGGUCUCCUGAUCUACACACCAGUUAAGGAGGCGAUUCCAGAGCUCUUUUGUUUUCGAACAUUCAAAAAAUAAAUGCUCAAAGGUCUCCUGAUCUACACCACAGAAUAUGCAUUCUUGCGGAACCACUAUAUUAAACUUUUGGAGUCGCUCCACAGUUGCGAGUCGCUUAUGUAA
rnacentral:lncRNA from 1 species